GUAAAYUCAAAGAUGGUAAAAUACUUCAUCACAUUGAUAUCACAGAUAUAACAAUGAGGCAGAUAUUUCACUGGAUGUAUAAAUGUGAAGCAUCCGGUUGGCGUWUCCACUCACUACCAAAUAUAGUAGUGAGAGAAAGCCCACUGGCGGGCAGUGGGAGGAGAUGGAACGAGAUGGAUUUUGGCCGACAUUCUGCAAAUCAAUUAAACAUUUGAUCUCAAAACYGUUCUGUUCCCAAAACUAYAAUCUGUUAUGAACAGAACAGACUAAGUUUUAUAGACUUCACCCUUUGCCAAAGUUUCUACAAAUGUAGUUCUUUAGAAGGAGUGUGCAGACGAAUUGAGUUAUCGCAUACACGCAGUUCACAGCGUAGGCGUUCCCUAACGGAAAUAUGCUAGAACGSGCCAAUAGGAUCUCGCUAACUCGUGCUUGGUUCUACCCACUAUGAUUAAUUUGCUCCAAUUMGAAACGACAGGCUGUGGUCMAUCUUGGGUUAGUUAAACAAAUCUUUGUUGAUAUCAUGUGAUGCCAGUCAAAGSCAAACAGGAGCAAGCUUGGCACGCAUCAACCAAAAAAGCAGGGGAUAACUUUGGACGGGGCCACAAUGUUUGCCCUGUACAAGGCCAUAGAGGAUAGCGGUGAACCACACGAAAGUGUCUGCCUUCCAGCAGAGACCCCAGACUGUGUUUUUGUGUGAGGAGGAUGCAACCAUGGAACUGAGGGUUAAAACUGUCAAGUACUUCCAAGGAAACCCGCAAUGACAUAGAUGCAUGACCUGCCUGGAUAUGAGCAGCAUGGAGAACAGUGCCAUCUAGUGAAAUGAAAAUUAAACUAUUAUUACAGAUCAUUUAAAUGAACAAUAUUGAACUUGCAAUCAUUAAUUCGUUUUCAACUCAUGUAUAUUGAAGACUGUAAAAGCGARUUGUUUAAUARACAUUUCGAUGUCCCCUUAUUAAAAUAAUUACAUGUACUGAUUACAUGUUUUAUUUMAUGUAUUUACAAAUAACCACUAGCACUCAACAAUAAGACUUAAUACCUCCUACAAUAGCAUUAAACGAGGAGGGUAGGACAAUGAAACAGAACUAAGGCAUCUUCAAAUAUACUACCAUUUGUGAGUGUAAACGGAGGACCUCUAUUUUGAAGCUUUUUGCGCGAUUUGGACCGUUAAUGACGCUUAUUUUUCCAUCCGUACUCCAGGACGACCCACGUGACUUUAAUGAAACGGUUGUCCCUAGCUUCCAUAUGCCGCGUUCAAAACAAUUGUAAAAUCUAAAAUAUUCGACUUUAGUG